UGGGACUAUAAAUUAGCAUCCAGCUUUUUAU
rnacentral:piRNA from 1 species